AGUGAACGCUGGCGGUAGGCCUAACACAUGCAAGUCGAACGGCAGCACAGUAAGAGCUUGCUCUUACGGGUGGCGAGUGGCGGACGGGUGAGGAAUAAAUCGGAAUCUACUUUUUCGUGGGGGAUAACGUAGGGAAACUUACGCUAAUACCGCAUACGACCUACGGGUGAAAGCAGGGGAUCUUCGGACCUUGCGCGAUUGAAUGAGCCGAUGUCGGAUUAGCUAGUUGGCGGGGUAAAGGCCCACCAAGGCGACGAUCCGUAGCUGGUCUGAGAGGAUGAUCAGCCACACUGGAACUGAGACACGGUCCAGACUCCUACGGGAGGCAGCAGUGGGGAAUAUCGGACAAUGGGCGCAAGCCUGAUCCAGCCAUACCGCGUGGGUGAAGAAGGCCUUCUGGUUGUAAAGCCCUUUUGUUGGGAAAGAAAAGCAGCAGGUUAAUACCCCGCUGUUCUGACGGUACCCAAAGAAUAAGCACCGGCUAACUUCGUG
rnacentral:rRNA from 1 species